UGGGGAAUUUUGGACAAUGGGCGAAAGCCUGAUCCAGCAAUGCCGCGUGUGUGAAGAAGGCCUUCGGGUUGUAAAGCACUUUUGUCCGGAAAGAAAUCCUUGGCUCUAAUACAGUCGGGGGAUGACGGUACCGGAAGAAUAAGCACCGGCUAACUACGUGCCAGCAGCCGCGGUAAUACGUAGGGUGCAAGCGUUAAUCGGAAUUACUGGGCGUAAAGCGUGCGCAGGCGGUUUGCUAAGACCGAUGUGAAAUCCCCGGGCUCAACCUGGGAACUGCAUUGGUGACUGGCAGGCUAGAGUAUGGCAGAGGGGGGUAGAAUUCCACGUGUAGCAGUGAAAAUGCGUAGAGAUGUGGAGGAAUACCGAUGGCGAAGGCAGCCCCCUGGCCAAUACUGACGCUCAUGCACGAAAAGCGUGGGGAGCAAAACAGGAUUAGAUACCCUGGUAGUCCCACGCCCUAAAACGAUGUCAAACUAGUUGUUGGGGAUUCAUUUCCUUAGUAACGUAGCUAAACGCGUGAAGUUGACCGCCUGGGGAGUACGGUCGC
rnacentral:rRNA from 1 species